UGAAAAGUGGGGCGGGGAGCGGGGGGAAAACGAAGGGGGGAGGGUGUAAUCGGAAGUACUGGGCGGAAGGCUGGCGGUGGCGGUUCUGUAAGUCUGCUGUGAAAUCCCCGGGCUCAACCGGGGAAUGGCAGUGGAUACUGGAGAGCUAGAGUGUGAUAGAGGAUGGUGGAAUUCCCGGUGUAGCGGUGAAAUGCGUAGAGAUCGGGAGGAACAUCAGUGGCGAAGGCGGCCAUCUGGAUCAACACUGACGCUGAGGCACGAAAGCGUGGGGAGCAAACAGGAUUAGAUACCCGGGUAAUC
rnacentral:rRNA from 1 species